GGUUAAGCGACUAAGCGUACACGGUGGAUGCCCUGGCAGUCAGAGGCGAUGAAGGACGUGCUAAUCUGCGAAAAGCGUCGGUAAGGUGAUAUGAACCGUUACAGCCGGCGAUGUCCGAAUGGGGAAACCCAGUGCAAUUCGUUGCACUAUCGUUAACUGAAUACAUAGGUUAACGAGGCGAACCGGGGGAACUGAAACAUCUAAGUACCCCGAGGAAAAGAAAUCAACCGAGAUUCCCCCAGUAGCGGCGAGCGAACGGGGAGCAGCCCGGAGUCUGAAUCAGCUUGUGUGUUAGUGGAAGCGUCUGGAAAGUCGCAGGGUACAGGGUGAUACUCCCGUACACUAAAACACACAGGUUGUGAACUCGAAGAGUAGGGCGGGACACGUGGUAUCCUGUCUGAAUAUGGGGGGACCAUCCUCCAAGGCUAAAUACUCCUGACUGACCGAUAGUGAACCAGUACCGUGAGGGAAAGGCGAAAAGAACCCCGGCGAGGGGAGUGAAAAAGAACCUGAAACCGUGUACGUACAAGCAGUAGGAGCCCACUAGUUGGGUGACUGCGUACCUUUUGUAUAAUGGGUCAGCGACUUAUAUUCUGUAGCAAGGUUAACCGUAUAGGGGAGCCGCAGGGAAACCGAGUCUUAACUGGGCGUUAAGUUGCAGGGUAUAGACCCGAAACCCGGUGAUCUAGCCAUGGGCAGGUUGAAGGUUGGGUAACACUAACUGGAGGACCGAACCGACUAAUGUUGAAAAAUUAGCGGAUGACUUGUGGCUGGGGGUGAAAGGCCAAUCAAACCGGGAGAUAGCUGGUUCUCCCCGAAAGCUAUUUAGGUAGCGCCUCGUGAACUCAUCUUCGGGGGUAGAGCACUGUUUCGGCUAGGGGGUCAUCCCGACUUACCAACCCGAUGCAAACUACGAAUACCGAAGAAUGUUAUCACGGGAGACACACGGCGGGUGCUAACGUCCGUCGUGAAGAGGGAAACAACCCAGACCGCCAGCUAAGGUCCCAAAGUCAUGGUUAAGUGGGAAACGAUGUGGGAAGGCCCAGACAGCCAGGAUGUUGGCUUAGAAGCAGCCAUCAUUUAAAGAAAGCGUAAUAGCUCACUGGUCGAGUCGGCCUGCGCGGAAGAUGUAACGGGGCUAAACCAUGCACCGAAGCUGCGGCAGCGACGCUUAUGCGUUGUUGGGUAGGGGAGCGUUCUGUAAGCCGUUGAAGGUGGCCUGUGAGGGUUGCUGGAGGUAUCAGAAGUGCGAAUGCUGACAUAAGUAACGAUAAUGCGGGUGAAAAACCCGCACGCCGGAAGACCAAGGGUUCCUGUCCAACGUUAAUCGGGGCAGGGUGAGUCGACCCCUAAGGCGAGGCCGAAAGGCGUAGUCGAUGGGAAACAGGUUAAUAUUCCUGUACUUGGUGUUACUGCGAAGGGGGGACGGAGAAGGCUAUGUUGGCCGGGCGACGGUUGUCCCGGUUUAAGCAUGUAGGCGGAUGUUCCAGGUAAAUCCGGAACGUUACUAACGCUGAGGUGUGAUGACGAGGCACUACGGUGCUGAAGUGACAAAUGCCCUGCUUCCAGGAAAAGCCUCUAAGCAUCAGGUAACAUCAAAUCGUACCCCAAACCGACACAGGUGGUCAGGUAGAGAAUACCAAGGCGCUUGAGAGAACUCGGGUGAAGGAACUAGGCAAAAUGGUGCCGUAACUUCGGGAGAAGGCACGCUGAUGGUAGGUGAAGUGACUUGCUCAUGGAGCUGAAAUCAGUCGAAGAUACCAGCUGGCUGCAACUGUUUAUUAAAAACACAGCACUGUGCAAACACGAAAGUGGACGUAUACGGUGUGACGCCUGCCCGGUGCCGGAAGGUUAAUUGAUGGGGUUAUCCUCGCGGAGAAGCUCUUGAUCGAAGCCCCGGUAAACGGCGGCCGUAACUAUAACGGUCCUAAGGUAGCGAAAUUCCUUGUCGGGUAAGUUCCGACCUGCACGAAUGGCGUAAUGAUGGCCAGGCUGUCUCCACCCGAGACUCAGUGAAAUUGAACUCGCUGUGAAGAUGCAGUGUACCCGCGGCAAGACGGAAAGACCCCGUGAACCUUUACUAUAGCUUGACACUGAACACUGGUCCUUGAUGUGUAGGAUAGGUGGGAGGCUUUGAAGUGUGGACGCCAGUCUGCAUGGAGCCAUCCUUGAAAUACCACCCUUUAAUGGCUGGUGUUCUAACGUGGGCCCGUGAUCCGGGUUGCGGACAGUGUCUGGUGGGUAGUUUGACUGGGGCGGUCUCCUCCUAAAGAGUAACGGAGGAGCACGAAGGUCAGCUAAUCCUGGUCGGACAUCAGGAGGUUAGUGCAAUGGCAUAAGCUGGCUUGACUGCGAGCGUGACGGCGCGAGCAGGUGCGAAAGCAGGUCAUAGUGAUCCGGUGGUUCUGAAUGGAAGGGCCAUCGCUCAACGGAUAAAAGGUACUCCGGGGAUAACAGGCUGAUACCGCCCAAGAGUUCAUAUCGACGGCGGUGUUUGGCACCUCGAUGUCGGCUCAUCACAUCCUGGGGCUGAAGUAGGUCCCAAGGGUAUGGCUGUUCGCCAUUUAAAGUGGUACGCGAGCUGGGUUUAGAACGUCGUGAGACAGUUCGGUCCCUAUCUGCCGUGGGCGCUGGAGAAUUGAGGGGGGCUGCUCCUAGUACGAGAGGACCGGAGUGGACGCAUCACUGGUGUUCGGGUUGUCAUGCCAAUGGCAUUGCCCGGUAGCUAAAUGCGGAAGAGAUAAGUGCUGAAAGCAUCUAAGCACGAAACUUGCCCCGAGAUGAGUUCUCCCUGACUCCUUGAGAGUCCUGAAGGAACGUUGAAGACGACGACGUUGAUAGGCCGGGUGUGUAAGCGCAGCGAUGCGUUGAGCUAACCGGUACUAAUGAACCGUGAGGCUUAACCUU
rnacentral:rRNA from 1 species